rnacentral:rRNA from 1 species
GAUGAACGCUGGCGGCGUGCCUAAUACAUGCAAGUCGAGCGAACAGACGAGGAGCUUGCUCCUCUGACGUUAUCGGCGGACGGGUGAUUAACACUUGUAUAACCUACCUAUAAGACUGGGAUAACUUCGGGAAACCGGAGCUAAUACCGGAUAAUAUAUUGAACCGCAUUGUUCAAUAGUUAAAGACGGUUUUGCUGUCACUUAUAGAUUGAUCCGCGCCGCAUUAGCUAGUUGGUAAGGUAACGGCUUACCAAGGCGACGAUGCUUAGCCGACCUCAGAGGGUGAAUGGCCACCCUGGAAGUGAGACACGGUCCAGACUCCUACGGGAGGAAGCAGUAGGGAAUCUUACGGAAUGGGGGAAAGCCUGACGGAGCAACGCCGCGUGAGUGAUGAAGGUCUUCGGAUCGUAAAACUCUGUUAGUAGGGAAGAACAAAUGUGUAAGUAACUAUGCACGUCUUGACGGUACCUAAUCAGAAAGCCACGGCUAACUACGUG